GCACUGCUGAGGAGUCCCAUAAUAGGACGAGACAGCCGUCCAGUGU
rfam:Schistosoma mansoni strain Puerto Rico chromosome 4, complete genome